rnacentral:rRNA from 1 species
UACGUAGGGUGCAAGCGUUGUCCGGAAUCAUUGGGCGUAAAGGGCGCGUAGGUGGCCACUUCAAGCGUGCGGUGAAAGUCGGGGGCUCAACCCCUGAUCGGCCGUGCGAACUGGGGGGCUGGAGCACUGUAGAGGCAGGCGGAAUUCCGGGUGUGAGCGGUGGAAGUGCGUAGAGAUCCGGAAGAACACCGGUGGCGAAGGCGGCCUGCUGGGCAGUUUUGCUGACACUGAGGCGCGACAGCGUGGGGAGCAAACAGG